GUGCCAGCCGCCGCGGUAAUACCGGCAGCCCAAGUGAUGGCCGCUGUUAUUGGGCCUAAAGCGUCCGUAGCUGGCCGCACAAGUCCGUCGGGAAAUCCACCUGCCCAACAGGUGGGCGUCCGGCGGAAACUGUGUGGCUUGGAACCGGAAGGCUCAGAGGGUACGUCCAGGGUAGGAGCGAAAUCCCGUAAUCCUGGACGGACCGCCGAUGGCGAAAGCACGUCGCGAGAACGGAUCCGACAGUGAGGGACGAAAGCCAGGGUCUCGAACCGGAUUAGAUACCUUGGUAGUCC
rnacentral:rRNA from 1 species